AGGUCACAAGCGUUGUCCGGAUUUAUUGGGCGUAAAGGGAGCGCAGGCGGUUUGUUAAGUCUGAUGUGAAAGCCCACGGCUCAACCGUGGAACGGCAUUGGAAACUGGCAAACUUGAGUAUAGAAGAGGAAAGUGGAAUUCCAUGUGUAGCGGUGAAAUGCGUAGAUAUAUGGAGGAACACCAGUGGCGAAGGCGACUUUCUGGUCUAUAACUGACGCUGAGGCUCGAAAGCGUGGGGAGCGA
rnacentral:rRNA from 1 species